GUCAUUAUCGCUUACCUCUUCAUAUCAGAAGCUAUUGGUAUUCAAAUCCUUAUUUUCAUCUCCUUCUCUGGCCUCAAGAUCCGAGAUAUCGAGCUCGCUUCUCGUGCCGUUUUGCCUAGGUAACAGACCAUCAGCCUCUACAAAACCAUUGUGCUUACUUGAUAAUUAAUUAAUCUCAAUAUAUAUGUACAUACGCACACACACCAAAGUAUCUUAAAUUAAGAGAACAAAACCCUUAUUCAACCUGACAGUUUUGCAAUCGUACGUGACGUGUUACUGAUAUUGUAUCACUUGCUUUCACGUAUCUAAUUUAUUGGUAGCUAGGUUUUAUGCGGCUGACGUGAGAAAGGAGAGCUAUGAGGUGUUUGAUAAGUGC
rnacentral:lncRNA from 1 species